rnacentral:rRNA from 1 species
UUUUAUGGAGAGUUUGAUCCUGGCUCAGAGUGAACGCUGGCGGCGUGCCUAAUACAUGCAAGUCGAACGAUGAAGCUUCUAGCUUGCUAGAGUGCUGAUUAGUGGCGCACGGGUGAGUAACGCAUAGGUCAUGUGCCUCUUAGUUUGGGAUAGCCAUUGGAAACGAUGAUUAAUACCAGAUACUCCCUACGGGGGAAAGAUUUAUCGCUAAGAGAUCAGCCUAUGUCCUAUCAGCUUGUUGGUAAGGUAAUGGCUUACCAAGGCUAUGACGGGUAUCCGGCCUGAGAGGGUGAACGGACACACUGGAACUGAGACACGGUCCAGACUCCUACGGGAGGCAGCAGUAGGGAAUAUUGCUCAAUGGGGGAAACCCUGAAGCAGCAACGCCGCGUGGAGGAUGAAGGUUUUAGGAUUGUAAACUCCUUUUGUUAGAGAAGAUAAUGACGGUAUCUAACGAAUAAGCACCGGCUAACUCCGUGCCAGCAGCCGCGGUAAUACGGAGGGUGCAAGCGUUACUCGGAAUCACUGGGCGUAAAGAGCGCGUAGGCGGGAUAGUCAGUCAGGUGUGAAAUCCUAUGGCUUAACCAUAGAACUGCAUUUGAAACUACUAUUCUAGAGUGUGGGAGAGGUAGGUGGAAUUCUUGGUGUAGGGGUAAAAUCCGUAGAGAUCAAGAGGAAUACUCAUUGCGAAGGCGACCUGCUGGAACAUUACUGACGCUGAUUGUGCGAAAGCGUGGGGAGCAAACAGGAUUAGAUACCCUGGUAGUCCACGCCCUAAACGAUGGAUGCUAGUUGUUGGAGGGCUUAGUCUCUCCAGUAAUGCAGCUAACGCAUUAAGCAUCCCGCCUGGGGAGUACGGUCGCAAGAUUAAAACUCAAAGGAAUAGACGGGGACCCGCACAAGCGGUGGAGCAUGUGGUUUAAUUCGAAGAUACACGAAGAACCUUACCUAGGCUUGACAUUGAGAGAAUCCGCUAGAAAUAGUGGAGUGUCUGGCUUGCCAGACCUUGAAAACAGGUGCUGCACGGCUGUCGUCAGCUCGUGUCGUGAGAUGUUGGGUUAAGUCCCGCAACGAGCGCAACCCCCUUUCUUAGUUGCUAACAGGUUAUGCUGAGAACUCUAAGGAUACUGCCUCCGUAAGGAGGAGGAAGGUGGGGACGACGUCAAGUCAUCAUGGCCCUUACGCCUAGGGCUACACACGUGCUACAAUGGGGUGCACAAAGAGAAGCAAUACUGCGAAGUGGAGCCAAUCUUCAAAACACCUCUCAGUUCGGAUUGUAGGCUGCAACUCGCCUGCAUGAAGCUGGAAUCGCUAGUAAUCGCAAAUCAGCCAUGUUGCGGUGAAUACGUUCCCGGGUCUUGUACUCACCGCCCGUCACACCAUGGGAGUUGUGUUUGCCUUAAGUCAGGAUGCUAAAUUGGCUACUGCCCACGGCACACACAGCGACUGGGGUGAAGUCGUAACAAGGUAACCGUAGGUGAACCUGCGGUUGGAUCACCUCCUUUCUAGA